AUUGAACGCUGGCGGCGGGCCUAACACAUGCAAGUCGAGCGAGCGGCGGACGGGUGCGGAAUGUCUGGGAAACUGCCUGAUGGAGGGGGAUAACUACGGGAAACGGUAGCGAAUACCGCAUAACAUCGGAUUUGCCGCGAUGGGAUUAGCUGGAAGGUGGGGUAACGGCUAACCUAGGCGACGAGCCCUAGCCGGUCUGAGAGGAUGACCAGCCAAACUGGAACUGAGACACGGUCCAGACUCCUACGGGAGGCAGCAGUGGGGAAUAUUGGACAAUGGGCGCAAGCCUGAUGCAGCCAUGCCGCGUGUGUGAAGAAGGCCUUCGGGUUGUAAAGCUCUGUCAGCGGGGAGGCGUUACCCGCAGAAGAAGCACCGGCUAACUCCGUGCCAGCAGCCGCGGUAAUAC
rnacentral:rRNA from 1 species